CAUGUCCUGCCAUAAUGAUAAUGGACUAAACCUCCAAAACGGCCAGCAUCCCUAAGGAAGGAGGGACUGGGGAAGCCACACUUGUAAGCAUGAGAAAAUGGUGUCUACUGCAGACCAGAGGAACAGAGGAACAGAACAAAAGACUCUCAAAAUUCAUGGGAAAGAACAAUGCUGCUGGAAUGAAUUUAGAGGAAAUACAAGCUAAACUUGAUUUUUAAAAAUAAAAGCCAGUGUCUAAGACUG